AUCAGUGCAUAACAUAAGGUCACUAAGUGCUUUCGUCCUGUGUUGUUUUAUUUCAGGAUUGAGUCACAGAGAAAUGUGAGGAUUUACACUUCUGAAGUAGGUGUGAAUGGGACUGAAGGAAUUACGUGGAGGAUUCUGAACUCCCCUUCUUCCUGCUCCGGGAAAGACUGGCCAGUCCAGGACAAGGAGGUUUUGAAAGGACACAAGAAAAACAGAGCCAAAGUAAACACCAGCAAGGAAAGAGAAGAGGAGAGGAAGAAACAGAAAUAGCCAUGGAAAUCUGUCAGGUGGAAUGAGGCUACUUAAUACAUCUGCCCAUUUCCCAAAUCUUGCUGAAGCAGCCCAGUGACUCCUGUAAGUGGAACAAGCGCACAAGGACCAUGCAACACGGCCAGGCUGUAACUGGCAGCUUCCCUCUGGCUUGGCUUUCUCUGUCUUUUAUGGACUUUCCCCUUGGUAGCAGGACAGUGUCCAUAGGUGCCACUGUAGCUAAAUAAGUAUGGGCUGGAUGAGGGGACCAGGACUUGGAAGACCUUUGGAAAUCACAC
rnacentral:lncRNA from 1 species